rnacentral:rRNA from 1 species
AUUGAACGCUGGCGGCAUGCCUUACACAUGCAAGUCGAACGGCAGCGGGGACUUCGGUCCGCCGGAGAGUGGCGAACGGGUGAGUAAUGUAUCGGAACGUACCAUUCAGUGGGGGAUAACUAUCCGACAGGAUAGCUAAUACCGCAUAUGCUGUGAGCAGGAAAGCAGGGGAUCGAAAGACCUCGCGCUGAUUGAGCGGCCGAUAUCUGAUUAGCUAGUUGGUGAGGUAACGGCUCACCAAGGCUACGCUCUGUAGCGGGUCUGAGAGGAUGAUCCGCCACACUGGGACUGAGACACGGCCCAGACUCCUACGGGAGGCAGCAGUGGGGAAUUUUGGACAAUGGGCGCAAGCCUGAUCCAGCCAUGCCGCGUGAGUGAAGAAGGCCUUCGGGUUGUAAAGCUCUUUCGGCCGGGAAGAAAUCGCAUCAGCUAAUACCUGGUGUGGAUGACGGUACCGGAAUAAGAAGCACCGGCUAACUACGUGCCAGCAGCCGCCGUAAUAC